CCUACGGGUGGCUGCAGUGAGGAAUAUUGGUCAAUGGACGAGAGUCUGAACCAGCCAAGUAGCGUGAAGGACGACUGCCCUAUGGGUUGUAAACCUCUUUUAUAGGGGACUAAUAAGUUCUACGUGUGGCAUUAUGCAUGUACCAUAUGAAUAAGCAUCGGCUAACUCCGUGCCAGCAGCCGCGGUAAUACGGAGGAUCCGAGCGUUAUCCGGGUUUAUUGGGUUUAAAGGGUGCGUAGGGGGGUUGUUAAGUUAAUUGUGAAAGUGUGGGGCUUAAACUUUGAAUUGCAAUUGAAACUGGCAGUCUUGAGUACAGUAGAGGUAGGCGGAAUAAGUGAUGUAGCGGUGAAAUGCUUAGAUAUAACGUAGAACUCCGAUAGCGAAGGCAGCUCACUAGACUGCGACUGACGCUGAAGCACGAGAGUGUGGGUAGCGAACAGGAUUAGAUACCCGUGUAGUC
rnacentral:rRNA from 1 species